GAGUGAGCAUCUCUACCAUGGUGGUUUAAAGAAUAGGAGUAGUAUGUGUAUUAAUAAUAGAAACUGCUUCAAUCUAUUGAGUUAUGGGAGUAGUUCUUUGAAAAGGCCAAAGCCGUGAAUGGAAGAGGAUGCUCACUUCAUACCAAGAAGAUGUACACAUGGAAGUAUUUGUAAUUAUUGUGUAGUUAAUUAUGUAAGUGGUAAAUAUACGUUGGACGAGUUACUACAAUAAACCAUCAUAGAUGUUGGUAACCGGCAAUAAAAUCUUUCAACAGUUUACCUUUC